GGGUAACGGGGAAUUAGGGUUCGAUUCCGGAGAGGGAGCCUGAGAAACGGCUACCACAUCCAAGGAAGGCAGCAGGCGCGCAAAUUACCCAAUCCCGACACGGGGAGGUAGUGACAAUAAAUAACAACACAGGGCUCUUUUGGGUCUUGUUAUUGGAAUGAGUACGAUUUAAAUCUCCUAACGAGGAACAAUUGGAGGGCAAGUCUGGUGCCAGCAGCCGCGGUAAUUCCAGCUCCAAUAGCGUAUAUUAAAGUUGUUGCAGUUAAAAAGCUCGUAGUUGAAUUUCAGGCCUGGCUGGACGGUCCGCCCUUCGGGUGAGUACUGUCUGUGGUCGGGUCCUACCUUCUGGCGAAGCGUCAUGGCCUUAACCGGCCGUGGCGGGGAACCAGGACUUUUACUGUGAAAAAAUUAGAGUGUUCAAAGCAGGCAAUCGCUUGGAUACAUUAGCAUGGAAUAAUGGAAUAGGACAAUGGUUCUAUUUGUUGGUUUCUAGGACCGUUGUAAUGAUUAAUAGGGAUAGUUGGGGGCAUUAGUAUUCAAUUGUCAGAGGUAAAAUUCUUGGAUUUAUUGAAGACUAACUACUGCGAAAGCAUUUGCCAAGGAUGUUUUCAUUAAUCAAGAACGAAAGUUAGGGGAUCGAAGACGAUCAGAUACC
rnacentral:rRNA from 1 species